UCAUAAAGUUAUUUGGACUUCAUUCUGUAUAAACAUUAAACUUAUCUUGACUUUAAUUCAGCAAUUAUUCAUAAUUGACCUGACCACCUGAAUACUUUGUCCAGACUGUCACACUUCACUGCACUCCUAUCAAAGUACAGGUGUGAUUACUGAUGUGUGUUAGGUAAUUGGCAUUAUUAUCAAGGAUAGACCCUAUAACAUUUGACCAUUUGUGAAAAUCAGUGGCAUGUGGCAUUAUGCAGGGUUGUCAUAACAGGGGUGUUAACAUGGGAGAAAAUCUGUUCUUCAGAAUUUUCAGGCAAUAAGCAGGGGUGGCAUUAUAACGGGGGUCAAUAUAUCGAGGGAGCACUGUAAAUAAGGAACAUAGGGACGUUAACUGAGGCUAUGGGGUCAAAGAUUUUGUUAUAUCUAUUUGUAAACCAUGGAUGAAAUUCGAACAAGAAUAAAUAUUUCUCUCCGAUCUAUGUAACAUAGUAUCAUAAUGUUGUCUAUUCUAACAUUUCCAUUUUAGGUUUCAGGAAGCUUCACUAUGUUGUGCCAUUACCACAGAAUACCAAUUCAUCCACGUUUUAAAAAAUAUCGUAUCCUGGCUACAGAUUCAUCAGUAUAAAUAGGCCGUACAUGUAUGUACACAGACACUUGUUUCUCUCCUCUGUAUCCUAAUAUGUCUUACGGCGUGACCGUGUUCGAGGGCGAAGCAAAAAAUAUUGGAAUUAGUAUCUAGAUCCAUAACAGGGCAAAAAUAUCUCGAAAUAUUAGCAGCUAAUGUGUGAGGACAUAGCUCAAUCAAAGUAUUCUAACUUUUGACAAUUUUUGAUCCACCUAUUCAUUGAACGCGGGAAACGCUAUGCAACUGAUGUAAACAGUGCAUUGUGACGUCAUAUUCAGCAUCAGUGUUUAGCAAAUACACAAACAUAGGAGACAUUGCAUUGUACAAUCACGUUUUAAAUCGAGGAGUGAUUAUAUAUGAUUAAGAAAAUAAGAUUUACAUGCUUUUACGGAUUUCAUGUAGCAUCUCAGAACGACGUUAACCAUACAUGCCAACUUUCCCGAUUUAGUCGGGAUCUUCCCGAUUUUACCCUCCGGUCCCGCUUUCCCGAUCGGGAAAGCAAAAUUACCCUAAAAUCCCGAUUUGAAAUUUUUUCCGACCAAAAUUUCCGAUUUCACGAUUGAAAACGAGUUUGAAAGCAGGAUAAUCGUGAAAUCUCGUGACCAGAAUUGGUAAUCCCGCGUCAUUUCUGAACUGGCCAAUCAGAAAUCGGGACAAUAGUCAGCCAUUGCUGUUUACCUGUGUCGCAUGGUGUCGGGUUGGUCUGCCUGUGUCGGGGUGUUUAUUGGACAGUACGAAGCAUGUUUUGAUAGUAAUUAAUCGGGAAGACGGAUUUCAAAUUGACCUAUCCUUUACACAAACGUGAAUGACAACGAUGCUAGUGUCACCACCAAACAAUCGGACAUUCCGCCUCUCGCUGACAGCAUCCAAAAUUUGCAAUAAGAUGUCAUGGGUGCAAAGGUUUUGUUCGCAAACUUCAUAGCAGGGCAGAUCACUCCUUUUUUGGUUGCAAUGCAGAUUAUUCCACCAGUCUCUGCAAGCCCAUGUUUAGAGACAAGCAAGAUCGCCUUUGCAGUCGUACCUAAAUGCAUGUGCUUUAAUUUAAAUUUUGAUAUAUAGACCGGCCAAUGUUUAUUGUAUGGUGUAAAAGGAUGCAACCUUAAAUAUUAUUUGAUAUUAUGUAUGUGACUUGUUGGAGAAGAUUUUUUGCUGAAUAGAUGAUUUUAAUAAAAUAUUAAUGUAUA